rnacentral:rRNA from 1 species
AUGUCGGCGACCGGCGCACGGGUGAGUAACGCGUAUCCAACCUGCCCAUAACUAAGGGAUAACCCAGCGAAAGUUGGACUAAUACCUUAUGUAUUCGUUUGAUCUCAUGAGAUUACGAAUAAAGAUUUAUCGGUUAUGGAUGGGGAUGCGUCUGAUUAGCUUGUUGGCGGGGUAACGGCCCACCAAGGCAACGAUCAGUAGGGGUUCUGAGAGGAAGGUCCCCCACAUUGGAACUGAGACACGGUCCAAACUCCUACGGGAGGCAGCAGUGAGGAAUAUUGGUCAAUGGACGCAAGUCUGAACCAGCCAAGUAGCGUGCAGGAUGACGGCCCUAUGGGUUGUAAACUGCUUUUAUAUGGGGAUAAAGUGGGGAACGUGUUCNCUUUUGCAGGUACCAUAUGAAUAAGGACCGGCUAAUUCCGUGCCAGCAGCCGCGGUAAUACGGAAGGUUCGGGCGUUAUCCGGAUUUAUUGGGUUUAAAGGGAGCGUAGGCCGUUUGGUAAGCGUGUUGUGAAAUGUAGGAGCUCAACUUCUAGAUUGCAGCGCGAACUGUCAGACUUGAGUGCGCACAACGUAGGCGGAAUUCAUGGUGUAGCGGUGAAAUGCUUAGAUAUCAUGAAGAACUCCGAUUGCGAAGGCAGCUUACGGGAGCGCAACUGACGCUGAAGCUCGAAGGUGCGGGUAUCGAACAGGAUUAGAUACCCUGGUAGUCCGCACAGUAAACGAUGGAUGCCCGCUGUUAGCACCUAGUGUUAGCGGCUAAGCGAAAGCAUUAAGCAUCCCACCUGGGGAGUACGCCGGCAACGGUGAAACUCAAAGGAAUUGACGGGGGCCCGCACAAGCGGAGGAACAUGUGGUUUAAUUCGAUGAUACGCGAGGAACCUUACCCGGGCUUGAAUUGCAGAUGAACGAUUUAGAGAUAAUGAGGUCCUUCGGGACAUCUGUGAAGGUGCUGCAUGGUUGUCGUCAGCUCGUGCCGUGAGGUGUCGGCUUAAGUGCCAUAACGAGCGCAACCCCUUUCUUUAGUUGCCAUCAGGUUNUGCUGGGCACUCUGGAGAUACUGCCACCGUAAGGUGUGAGGAAGGUGGGGAUGACGUCAAAUCAGCACGGCCCUUACGUCCGGGGCUACACACGUGUUACAAUGGGUGGUACAGAUAGUUGGUCGUGUGCAAAUACGAUCUAAUCCUUAAAACCAUUCUCAGUUCGGAC